rnacentral:lncRNA from 1 species
AUUGAUAUUGUUGUUGUACCUUUUUGUUGAGAGAGCGAUGCAGAAUAAAAUAACUUUGCUACACUAGAAAAGAAUAAAGGGUUAUUGACAUAAAAAUUCCUACGUUUUCUAGUUUCAUGUGAUUUUUUUCCUAUGAUGAUUUUAGGUGUGUUUAUGCCUAAUAUUUUGGGUGUUUUUGUCAAAUGUGCCAUUUAACAGGUUACCUAUCAAUUUCUCGGUAACAAGAUCCCUCAUCUUCCUCAUUCAACCUCUUAUUCAUCAUGUAAAUAAAAAAGGAGCAUAAAAUACACACAUAACACACCAAUACACACAUCAGAAGCAAAAUCAUACACACACUAAUUGGAUUUUGAAUUUUCCCUUUUUUUCAGUUGCAUCCAUCCAUGAUCCUAAACAAACACAUGCUUGUUGACAUAUAGCUUCCAUUUCAAACCCUUUGAAAUCAUAAGUCCCUCCCCCUUCAGUUGAAUCUGGGAGUUAACUCACGUAUGUUGUGUAGAUUUUGGGCCUAUAUCUCUCUAUAUAUCUGCAGGUCUGUCAAACAAAUUGAAGGUUGAUAACUUGUAUAUUCAAAAUUAAGGAAAUUAGCAGCAACCAUGUAUAUGUCUUGCAAGAAAUGCUAUCGAUAGAACACACAUAUCUAAAAUUGAUUUGGAAGAACUCAUGAACGUGUUGUAUCAAAACUAAUUUUAGAUGUUGAAUUGGAAAAUCAAUAUACAAACCCAAUAGUCAUCAAAAAGAAAAAAAAAAACAAAAUCCAACCAUCUUGGUACCUGGUACAUCUCACAACAAGAGUAAUUUUAGAUGAACAAGGAAGUGGUAGGUGUGUGCAUUCGGCAGAAGGAGGAGAUCGUCUUCUCUAAGGAGGUGUGUGCAACAAAUUUAUGGUGAGGUGUGUGCAAUAGACGACAAGAGGUGGUCAUCUUCUCUGGUGAGACCUCAGCCUCUGAUCCAACCAUCGUGACAUGAUGAGCUUGGAUUCCCCUAAACCCCUUUGUUUGAUUUAUGUGUUACCUUUUUAUAGAGUAUAGAGGCGAUGGAUAUGAUGGUGAUGACCAAUCAAGGGUGAUGAUGGCAUCUGGGUAUAUAGCUAUUGUUACUGGAGCUUGCUAGGGGUGGGCGGUGAUGAACAAGAAGGGGCAGUAGUGGGAGUUGGGUUUCAGCGGUGGCUGGGUAGAAUACGGGGGUGGGUACAUAAAGAAAAA